rnacentral:tRNA from 1 species
UCAAACUAUAGCAUAUAUUAUAAUGCCUCUUAUUUACAUUAAGAAGAAAAUACUAAUUUAGUUUGAA